rnacentral:rRNA from 1 species
GAUUUCUGGCUUGGUGUGUCUGACCCGCCACGGUUACGUGUGUGAGUGUUGGUACGUACCUGCCAUCCUUGUAGAGAACCAUUCUACCCUUCAUUGGGCCGGGAUGGAUCUUUCUCUACAUCUUUUACUUUGAAAAAAUUAGAGUGUUUAAAGCAGGCUUAUGCUAUGAAUACAUUAGCAUGGAAUAAUAAUUUAGGACUUUGGUUCUAUUUUGUUGGUUUCUAGGACUGAAGUAAUGAUUGAUAGGGAUAGUUGGGGGUGCUAGUAUUCCGCGGCCAGAGGUGAAAUUCUUGGAUUCGCGGAAGACUAACUACUGCGAAAGCAUU